rnacentral:lncRNA from 1 species
CUCUCUAUUGCUAUUGUUCUUGUUCUGUUGUUCUUGUCUUUUGCUUUAGUUUAUAACAAUAAGAAUUUUCUCUCUCUUUCUCUGCAAUAUUGCUCUAUUUUAUAACACGUUAUCAGCACGAGACUCUACCGUCUCAAGAAGCUCUCUGAGAAGAUUAAGGGCAAUGGGCGAGAAACCAAUUAUCAAUUAACGCUUCUGCUUCAAGAUAAUGGCUCACGAUUCAGGUAUGUUUUCUAUGACGAUUACAUGUAAGAUUAUCAUGUUCAAAAUGCUGUUAUAAACUAAUGUU